CCCUUAGAUGUCCUGGGCCGCACGCGCGCUACACUGAACGGAUCAGCGCGUUUUCCCUUCCCGAGAGGGACGGGUAACCUGCUGAACCCCGUUCGUGGUAGGGAUCGGGGCUUGCAAUUAUUCCCCGUGAACCAGGAAUGCCCAGUAAGUGCAAGUCAUAAGCUUGCGUUGAUUACGUCCCUGCCCUUUGUACACACCGCCCGUCGCUACUACCGAUUGAACGUUUUAGUGAGGUACUCGGACUGAGCCUCAGAAGAUUCACGUCUUUUGUGCUGCUCGGGAAGAUGCCCAAACUUGAGCGUUUAGAGGAAGUAAAAGUCGUANCA
rnacentral:rRNA from 1 species